AGAGUUUGAUCAUGGCUCAGGAUGAACGCUAGCGGCAGGCUUAACACAUGCAAGUCGAGGGGUAUAGGUUUUCGGAUCUAGAGACCGGCGCACGGGUGCGUAACGCGUAUGCAAUCUACCUUUUACAGAGGGAUAGCCCAGAGAAAUUUGGAUUAAUACCUCAUAGUAUUACGACUCGGCAUCGAGAUGUAAUUAAAGUCACAACGGUAAAAGAUGAGCAUGCGUUCCAUUAGCUAGUUGGUAAGGUAACGGCUUACCAAGGCAACGAUGGGUAGGGGUCCUGAGAGGGAGAUCCCCCACACUGGUACUGAGACACGGACCAGACUCCUACGGGAGGCAGCAGUGAGGAAUAUUGGUCAAUGGGCGCAAGCCUGAACCAGCCAUGCCGCGUGCAGGAUGACGGUCCUAUGGAUUGUAAACUGCUUUUGUACAGGAAGAAACAUCUCUACGUGUAGAGACUUGACGGUACUGUAAGAAUAAGGAUCGGCUAACUCCGUGCCAGCAGCCGCGGUAAUACGGAGGAUCCAAGCGUUAUCCGGAAUCAUUGGGUUUAAAGGGUCCGUAGGCGGUUUUGUAAGUCAGUGGUGAAAGCCCAUCGCUCAACGGUGGAACGGCCAUUGAUACUGCAAGACUUGAAUUAUUAGGAAGUAACUAGAAUAUGUAGUGUAGCGGUGAAAUGCUUAGAUAUUACAUGGAAUACCAAUUGCGAAGGCAGGUUACUACUAAUUGAUUGACGCUGAUGGACGAAAGCGUGGGGAGCGAACAGGAUUAGAUACCCUCGUAGUCC
rnacentral:rRNA from 1 species